rnacentral:rRNA from 1 species
UGUCCGCCCGGGUACUACGAGCCCCAGCUUAAAACCCAAAGGACUUGGCGGUGCUUAAGAUCCCCCUAGAGGAGCCUGUUCUAGAACCGAUAACCCCCGUUUAACCUCACCCUCUCUUGUUCAUACCGUCUAUAUACCGCCCCCCACCCUCUACCCUGAAAAGGUCAAAUAGUAAGCAAAAUUGGCAAAGCCUAAAACGUCAGGUCGAGGUGUAGCAUAUGAGAGGGGAAGAAAUGGGCUACAUUCUCUUCCAAAGAGCAUACGAAAAAAGGGCUGAAAUGCCUUUUAGAAGGAGGAUUUAGUAGUAAGAGGUGAAUAGAGUGCACCCCUGAAGCUGGCCCUAAAGCGCGUACACACCGCCCGUCACCCUCUGCAGUCAA